UUGUACUGCUAGUAUAGUAGGAGGUUGUACUACUAGUAUAGUAUGAGGUUGUAUUAUUAAUAUAGUAUGAGGUUGUACAACUAGUAUAGUAUGAGUGUGUACUACUAGUAUAGUAUGAGGUUGUGCUACUAAUAUAGUAUGAGGUUGUACUACUAGUAUAGUAUGAGGUUGUACUACUAGUAUAGUAUGAGGUUGAACUACUAGUAUAGUAUGAGGUUGUACUACUAGUAUAGUAUGAGGUUGUACUACUAGUAUAGUAUGAGCUGGUACUACUACUAUAGUAGGAGGUUGUACUAGUAUAGUAUGAGGUUGUACUACUAGUAUAGUAUGAGGUUGUACUACUAGUAUAGUAUGAGGUUAUAUUACUAGUAUAGUAUGAGGUUGUACUGCUAGUGUAGUAUGAGGUUGUACUACUAGUAUAGUAUGAGGUUGUACUACUAGUAUAGUAUGAGGUUAUAUUACUAGUAUAGUAUGAGGUUGUACUACUAGUAUAGUAUGAGGUUGUACUACUAGUAUAGUAUGAGGUUGUAC